GAAUGAAUGAACAACAAGUAGACUUAAUAAAUGAAACAUAAAUUCAAAACUUUAUUCAUUGUCAUUAACAGUCAAUCAGGUGCCACAAAAUGUUCUAAUGAUCAAGUGCUUUGAUAAAUAUGAAAUGAAAUGAACAGAUCAAUGAAAUGAUUGGCUCAGAAAAAAACAUGAUUAAUAAGUUAAAUAAUCAGUCACCAUUCACAUAUAAAUAAGAAAUCAACAUGAUUUUAUAUUAAAAAAUAAAUAAUAAAAAUAAUAAAGUGUUAAUGAGGUGAUACACAAAGUGACUUGUUGGUCAACCUGUUUGAGUUGCCUCAGCAUUGUUGCUUAAAUGUAUACAGUCUUUAAUUUGCUUUGACACAUUCAGAUAAAUGACUGACGCCAGGUUUAGCUUUUUCUUUGCUGCUGGAACAAAGAACAUCACAACAGUUGCCUCACGUAUAAAGACAAAACAAAAAAAGUGCCCAAAACAAACAGAAAUAAAAGAAGACAAUUAAAUUAAAAUAAACAGUUUCAGUCUGUUGCAUCUCAGUUGACUUAAACACCAUGAAAAUUCUUCUUUUUCCCCAUCAUCAUAAUUACUUACAGCAACAAAAAGGUCAUGCUGAUAGUUUAGUCAAUCCCACUUAAUUAAAAUGUUGUCUCCUUUCAAUUCUAAUUAUGCGUGACAUAAUCUCUCUAAUGGCUUUAAGUUUGACAAAUUAAACCACUUGGGCUUUCACACAGUCUGUCGGGCAGUUUAUUCGGCAUUUAAACAGCAGGAUGAAUCUGCUUUUAGAAACUAAAAUCUAACAGAAGGAUCAUCCGUGUCGUCGUAAUACAAAGCACGCUUUAUCAGGUUUUAUUGACCGUGUGUCUUCGGCUACGUCAUUCCAGAAAACAAGAUGUUGUGCCAAGUCAAUAAAAAGUGAUUGAAAGCGUCGUUAGUGACUCUUUUUACUGGUAGAACAUUUAACUGAUGGAGCAUUUCAAUCUAAAUGUGAGUGUUUUAUUUUCUAAAAGCAGAUUUAUUGUUGCGUUUUAAGGCCUGAAUGUUCAACCAUUUGACUGUGUGUGAGCUCAGUGAAUCUGCAGAGGGGCAGCUGAGCUGUAUAUUAACGAAUAGAGCAAACAUUUAAAGGUCCAGUGUGUCGGAUUAAGGGGGAUACAUUGGCAGAAAAGUGUUACAUUAGUGUAUAAUCCCCUGAAAAUAAGAAUCGUUAUGUUGUCGUUACCUUACGGUUAAUUUCUUCUCUCUUUACACACGAAAAUAAAUACGUCCGUUUCAAACAUUGAUAAGGUCACUGCCCUUCCAUGCGCCCUUCAUGCUUGCAGAGAUACAGCCAACAGGUGGCACUAGAGGGUCGAGUCAAAAGUUUUACACAACAACAAAUGAGGUGACGGUGGAGGAGGUCGUAAUAAUGUACCUUUAAACCGAGACAGCAUUGUGGACAGUGGUGGUCUGUGCAGCCAUAUAACGUUACAUUCUAACAUGUGGCUAGAUAAUUCUUUUCACUAUAUUACGGAUAUGUUCUAUGCCACCAUUAUUUAAAUUUCUUUGUCUUUUCCUAUGGUCGUAUGUUGCAUAAACUUGGCUACACUGCCUCUACGAUCUCUGCUGGUACUGCUCCAUUGCAUCUGUAUCCCCAGGCUUUCAGGAAAUGUGCACAAAUAUGGGCAAAGCUAACAGAGUACAGAGAGAAGGCUCUGUAUGUCUGCAAAUCUAACACUGAGCAUAAAUGAGCCUUUAAAAUGAGCUGUUUAUAUCUCCAUAGGAAGCAGGUCCUCAUCUAGGGAGGUCACCAUGUUGCACCACCAUGUAAAAUGAAAAAACACUUUGUUUUUUUAACAUGAAACUGCUUUAUUUUGUGUUUUUACUGGUUCAAAUCAUGGAUUUCGUUUGUUUUAGUGAGGAUAAUACUUCUGUAGAUAAUUCGGCUCCUGGUGAAAACCUCCUGAACAUUUGGAUCUUGAGUUAUCAGAUAAAAAUGAUGAGCAGGCACUAGCAGUUCCUAAGCUAGCGGCCAUGUCAAACAGCAUUGGAGAAACACUGAUUUGUAACAUGAACCUGCUUUAUUCAGUGUUUUUACCGCUUUAAUUACCUGGUUUGUUUGUUUUGGAAAGAAAGAGACCUGUGCAGGUUAUAUAAUAGCUCACGGUAAAAACCUUUCAAUCAAUGAACACUGAAGGAAUUCUAAUCAGGAGAAGUUUCAGCUGGUUGCAAUCUGCAGUCCUCACCACUAGAUGCCACUAAUUCCCCCUGAAUCUCACACCCUGGACCUUUAAAUACGUUUCAUUAAUAAUCUUUAUAUGUCAGAGCUAUUGAAUCAUGAAUAUAAUAUUCAGGAUUUAAACAGAAAACAAAAACAGCUUGGCCACCAUGAGAUGUACAACUCGUCUUAACUGCUUUGUUCGUGCUCAAAAGCAGCUCCAAAUCCCACAAUGCAAUUCCAGUUUACUGUUCAUGGUUAGAAACCCAAAUAUGAAAUGUUUAAUUCAAACAGUCAUUAGUGAGCUGUGAUGAUGUUAAAGGAUUUCAGGGUGCAACGACAGUCAGUUAGAAAUGUAAAAUAAAAAUUAAAAAAUCAGUCUUGAAUCUCAUCGGCUCAGAAAGCUGCAGCAGAGUCAUGAAAUGCAAAUGACACGCACACAAAUCAAUACUUAAUAAUAGAGUGAUUGUGUUUGAUAGUGUUAUUGAAAUAUAUAAAAGGCUAUAAAAAUAUCAUAGUAAAAAAAUCAACAAAAUGAAAAGGAAAAUAAUUUGAAACAAAAAGUAAAGUGUAAAUUUUAUAUCUGUAAGCUUCUCACAUUAGAUAACACAUGCAGUUAUGUUUCAUGUACUGUGUGCGUGUGUGUUUGUGCUCUGUUUGCGUGUUAAAUAUAAAAGCAUAUGUGCUGAAUUUGUGUGUUGUGUUUGUGUGUGUUUCUGCCUCAGUGUGUCCGUGGCCUCGACUCACUGCCUCCACUGCAAGGGAAGAGAGAAGAGGGAGGAAUCACUGAGUGGCCUCUGAUCCAGAAGAAACACUGAUUUUUAAACACUUUUUCAUCCAUGAGGAAAAAGCCGCAACUUGAUGCUCCAUUUAAAUAUAUGUAAUGGUUAAUGUGGUUAAUGUUCAACAUGUUUGAGGAUGACACUCAAAGGAGUCCAAGCUGUCGAGACAGACUGAACAACAUUACAGAACAGAAUGCAGCAGUCUGGUCGGUCUUCAAGCUACCCAAGUUCUCCCACACUGACCCACUCCUUCUCACUGGCUUUGGUGGCAACUUGAUUCCUAUUCUGCUCUACCAAGUCCUGACUUCUCAACGGUAGAUUGAACUCCUCAUUGACAUCAGCACAGCAGAGCUUUACACAUCGACCAUCCCAGACUGAAUAAUCAUCUGUUUAGGACGCACCUCUGCCCAAAAAAUAACAUACAUAUGUGUGUAUAUAUAUAUAUAUAUAUAUACAUAUAUACAUACAUACAUA